AUUGAACGCUGGCGGAAUGCUUUACACAUGCAAGUCGAACGGCAGCACGGACUUCGGUCUGGUGGCGAGUGGCGAACGGGGGAGUAAUAUAUCGGAACGUAUCCACUAAUGGGGGAUAACUAAUCGAAAGGUUGGCUAAUACCGCAUACGGCCUACGGGAGAAAGCUAGGGACCUUCGGGCCCGGCGUUAAUGGAGCGGCCGAUAUCGGAUUAGCUCGUUGGGGAGGAAAAGGCUCACAAAGGCGACGAUCCGUAGCGGGUCUGAGAGGACGACCAGCCACACUGGAACUGAGACACGGUCCAGACUCCUACGGGAGGCAGCAGUGGGGAAUUUUGGACAAUGGGCGAAAGCCUGAUCCAGCCAUUCCGCGUGAGUGAGGAAGGCCUGCGGGUUGUAAAGCUCUUUCGCAUGAGAAGAAAACUUACCCUCUAACAUAGGGUGAGGUUGACGGUAUCUUGAUAAGAAGCACCGGCUAACUACGUGCCAGCCGCCGCAGUAA
rnacentral:rRNA from 1 species